rnacentral:rRNA from 1 species
GACGAACGCUGGCGGCGUGCUUAACACAUGCAAGUCGAACGGAAAGGCCCUGCUUUUGUGGGGUGCUCGAGUGGCGAACGGGUGAGUAACACGUGAGUAACCUGCCCUUGACUUUGGGAUAACUUCAGAAAACUGGGGCUAAUACCGGAUAGGAGCUCCUGCUGCAUCGUGGGGGUUGGAAAGUUUCGGCGGUUGGGGAUGGACUCGCGGCUUAUCAGCUUGUUGGUGGGGGAGUGGCUUACCAAGGCAUUGACGGGUAGCCGGCCUGAGAGGGUGACCGGCCACAUUGGGACAGAGAUACAGCCCAGACACCUACGGGAGGGAGCAGUGUGGAAUAUUGCAGAAUGCGCGGAAGCCUCAUGCAGCAACGCCGCGUGCGGGAUGACGGCCUUCGGGUUGUAAACCGUUUUCUCCGGUGACGAAGAGUGAGUGACGGUAAUGGGUAAAGAAGCACCGGCUAACUACGUG